AGUGAACGCUGGCGGUAGGCCUAACACAUGCAAGUCGAACGGCAGCACAGUAAGAGCUUGCUCUUACGGGUGGCGAGUGGCGGACGGGUGAGGAACACAUCGGAAUCUACUUUUUCGUGGGGGAUAACGUAGGGAAACUUACGCUAAUACCGCAUACGACCUACGGGUGAAAGCAGGGGAUCUUCGGACCUUGCGCGAUUGAAUGAGCCGAUGUCGGAUUAGCUAGUUGGCGGGGUAAAGGCCCACCAAGGCGACGAUCCGUAGCUGGUCUGAGAGGAUGAUCAGCCACACUGGAACUGAGACACGGUCCAGACUCCUACGGGAGGCAGCAGUGGGGAAUAUUGGACAAUGGGCGCAAGCCUGAUCCAGCCAUACCGCGUGUGUGAAGAAGGCCUUCGGGUUGUAAAGCCCUUUUGUUGGGAAAGAAAAGCAGCAGGUUAAUACCCCGCUGUUCUGACGGUACCCAAAGAAUAAGCACCGGCUAACUUCGUG
rnacentral:rRNA from 1 species